CUAGCCUCGAGGUAAAGAGUCAUGGAGGUAGAGCACUGUUUGGACUAGGGGCCCUUCUCGGGUUACCGAAUUCAGAUAAACUCCGAAUGCCAUGUACUUAUACUCGGGAGUCAGACUGCGAGUGAUAAGAUCCGUAGUCGAAAGGGAAACAGCCCAGACCACCAGUUAAGGUCCCCAAAUAUAUGUUAAGUGGAAAAGGAUGUGGGGUUGCUUAGACAACCAGGAUGUUGGCUUAGAAGCAGCCACCAUUGAAAGAGUGCGUAAUAGCUCACUGGUCGAGUGACCCCGCGCCGAAAAUGUACCGGGGCUAAACAUAUUACCGAAACUGUGGAUGAACCUCUUCGGAGGUUCGUGGUAGGAGAGCGUUCUAAGGGCGGUGAAGUCAGACCGGAAGGACUGGUGGAGCGCUUAGAAGUGAGAAUGCCGGUAUGAGUAGCGAAAGAAGGGUGAGAAUCCCUUCCACCGAAUAUCUAAGGUUUCCUGAGGAAGGCUCGUCCGCUCAGGGUUAGUCGGGACCUAAGCCGAGGCCGAUAGGCGUAGGCGAUGGACAACAGGUAGAGAUUCCUGUACCAGUGCUAAUUGUUUAACCGAUGGGGUGACACAGAAGGAUAGGGAAUCGCACGAAUGGAAAUGUGCGUCCAAGCAGUGAGUGUGAGAAGUAGGCAAAUCCGCUUCUCGCGAAGCAUGAGCUGUGAUGGGGAAGGAAAUUAAGUACGGAAGUUCCUGAUUUCACGCUGUCAAGAAAAGCCUCUAGGAAGAGUAGUACUGCCCGUACCGCAAACCGACACAGGUAGAUGAGGAGAGAAUCCUAAGGUGAGCGAGAGAACUCUCGUUAAGGAACUCGGCAAAAUGACCCCGUAACUUCGGGAGAAGGGGUGCUCUAUUAGGGUGCAAGCCCGAGAGAGCCGCAGUGAAUAGGCCCAGGCGACUGUUUAGCAAAAACACAGGUCUCUGCAAAACCGUAAGGUGACGUAUAGGGGCUGACGCCUGCCCGGUGCUGGAAGGUUAAGAGGAGUGCUUAGCUUCGGCGAAGGUACGAAUUGAAGCCCCAGUAAACGGCGGCCGUAACUAUAACGGUCCUAAGGUAGCGAAAUUCCUUGUCGGGUAAGUUCCGACCCGCACGAAAGGCGCAACGAUCUGGGCACUGUCUCAACGAGAGACUCGGUGAAAUUAUAGUACCUGUGAAGAUGCAGGUUACCCGCGACAGGACGGAAAGACCCCGUGGAGCUUUACUGCAACCUGAUAUGGAAUGUUUGUACCGCUUGUACAGGAUAGGUAGGAGCCGAAGAGACGUGUGCGCUAGCAUACGAGGAGGCAAUGGUGGGAUACUACCCUGGCUGUAUGACCAUUCUAACCCGCCACGCUUAGCGCGUGGGGAGACAGUGUCAGGUGGGCAGUUUGACUGGGGCGGUCGCCUCCUAAAGAGUAACGGAGGCGCCCAAAGGUUCCCUCAGAAUGGAUGGAAAUCAUUCGCAGAGUGUAAAGGCACAAGGGAGCUUGACUGCGAGACUGACAAGUCGAGCAGGGACGAAAGUCGGGCUUAGUGAUCCGGUGGUUCCGCAUGGAAGGGCCAUCGCUCAACGGAUAAAAGCUACCCCGGGGAUAACAGGCUUAUCUCCCCCAAGAGUCCACAUCGACGGGGAGGUUUGGCACCUCGAUGUCGGCUCGUCGCAUCCUGGGGCUGUAGUCGGUCCCAAGGGUUGGGCUGUUCGCCCAUUAAAGCGGCACGCGAGCUGGGUUCAGAACGUCGUGAGACAGUUCGGUCCCUAUCCGUCGCGGGCGCAGGAAAUUUGAGAGGAGCUGUCCUUAGUACGAGAGGACCGGGAUGGACACACCGCUGGUGUACCAGUUGUUCCGCCAGGAGCAUCGCUGGGUAGCUAUGUGUGGCAGGGAUAAACGCUGAAAGCAUCUAAGCGUGAAGCCCCCCUCAAGAUGAGAUUUCCCAUUUCUUCGGAAAGUAAGAUCCCUGAAAGAUGAUCAGGUAGAUAGGUUUGGAGUGGAAGUGUAGCGAUACAUGGAGCGGACAAAUACUAAUCGAUCGAGGACUUAACCAAAA
rnacentral:rRNA from 1 species